rnacentral:pre_miRNA from 1 species
AGGAGGAACAACCACAGUGGCAGGGCCAGCUCUGGAGCCCUGGAUUCAGCCCCGCAGGAACUCCGGAGCUCUCGGUCUGCAGGGCCUGGAGGCUCCGGGGCGGG